CUUACAACCAUUACGCCAGCAUCCUAGCCGAAGCGCGGACCUCAGUCCCGGCUGGCCGUAUUACACCCUGGGCUAUAACACCUCCACCGAAGUGGAGGCCACAUUCCCAGAGCCUUUAUCCGGCCGCCGAAACUGAUGCUGGCCUGUCCAAACUGAGUAAACCGGUCAGAAGACCGGCCGAACAGUUUAAACAAGUCUGAUUGCAAGCGCUUCCCUUUCAACAAUUUCACGUGCUUUUUAACUCUCUUUCCAAAGUGCUUUUCAUCUUUCGAUCACUCUACUUGUGCGCUAUCGGUCUCUCGCCAAUAUUUAGCUUUAGAAGAAAUUUACCUCCCAUUUAGAGCUGCAUUCCCAAACAACUCGACUCGUCGAAGGAGAUUUACAUAGGGUGCCAUUUCCUGUCACAUACGGGAUUCUCACCCUCUAUGACGUCCUGUUCCAAGGAACUUAGACAGGCGGCUUCCCCAAAUCAUCCUCUACAAAUUACAAUGCGAACCCGAAGGCUAGCUUUCAAAUUUGAGCUGUUGCCGCUUCACUCGCCGUUACUAGGGCAAUCCCUG
rnacentral:rRNA from 1 species